rnacentral:rRNA from 1 species
AUUGAACGCUGGCGGAAUGCUUUACACAUGCAAGUCGAACGGUAGAGGGGGCAACCCCUUGAGAGUGGCGAACGGGUGAGUAAUAUAUCGGAACGUGCCAGUCGUGGGGAUAACGUAGCGAAAGUUACGCUAAUACCGCAUACGAUCUAAGGAUGAAAGCGGGGGAUCGCAAGACCUCGCGCGAUUGGAGCGGCCGAUAUCAGAUUAGGUAGUUGGUGAGGUAAAGGCUCACCAAGCCAACGAUCUGUAGCUGGUCUGAGAGGACGACCAGCCACACUGGGACUGAGACACGGCCCAGACUCCUACGGGAGGCAGCAGUGGGGAAUUUUUGGGACAAUGGGCGCAAGCCUGAUCCAGCAAUGCCGCGUGCAGGAUGAAGGCCCUCGGGUUGUAACUGCUUUUGUACGGAACGAAACGGUGAGCUCUAAUACAGUUUGCUAAUGACGGUACCGUAAGAAUAAGCACCGGCUAACUACGUGCCAGCAGCCGCGGUAAAG